UGGGGUACAGCUCAGUUGGUAGAGUGCUUGCUUCGCAUGCACAAGGGCCUGGGUUCCGUCCCCAGCACCACAC
rnacentral:tRNA from 1 species